CUUGGCUUUUUUCUUCUUUUCUCUUUACCUUUCUUCUCUUGUCAUUAUCCGUUUUUCCUUUCGUUUUUUCUUUUUUCAUCUAUUGUUUUUUUCUUUUCUUUUUUUCUUUUUUCUUUUUUUCAUAUUUUUCUGUCCUCUUUUUUAUUUCUAUUUUCUCUUUUUUCUUUUUUCUUUAUCUUUUUUCUUUUUUUAGCUUUUUCUCUUUUUUCUUUUUUUGUUCAUUUUUUCUUUUCUCUUUUUCUCUUUUUUGUCAUUUUUUUCUUUUCUCUUUUUUCUCUUUUUGUUCAUUUUUUUCUUUUCUCUUUUUUCUUUUUUUUGUUCAUUUUUUUCUUUUCUCUUUUUUGUCUUUUUUGUUCAUUUUUUUUCUUUUCCUUUUUUCUCUUUUUCUUAUUUUUCUUUUCUUUUUUCUCUUAUUUCAUAUUUUUUGUGCUUAUUUUUUCUUUUCUUUUUUCAUCAUUGGUUUUUUUUUUUUUUUUUUUUUUUUUUUUUCCGGUUAAAAUUCAAAAUUGGUUGGGGGUUUUUUUUUUUUUUUUUUUUUUUUUUUUUUUUUUUUUUUUUUUUUUUUUUUUUUUUUUUUUUUUUUUUUUUUUUUUUUUUUUUUUUUUUUUUUUUUUUUUUUUUUUUUUUUUUUUUUUUUUUUUCUCUUGUCAUUAUCCUUUUUUCCUUUUGUUUUUUUUUUUUUAUCUAUUAUUUUUUUCUUUUUUUUUUUCUUUUUUUUUUUUUUCAUAUUUUUCUGUCCUCUUUUUUAUUUCUAUUUUUCUUUUUUUUUUUUUUUAUCUUUUCCUUUUUUUAGCUUUUCUCUUUUUUCUUUUUUUGUUCAUUUUUUCUUUUCUCUUUUUUCUCUUUUUUGUCAUUUUUUUCUUUUCUCUUUUUCUCUUUUUGUUCAUUUUUUUCUUUUCUCUUUUUUCUUUUUUGUUCAUUUUUUUCUUUUCUCUUUUUUGUCUUUUUUGUUCAUUUUUUUCUUUUCUCUUUUUUUCUAUUUUUCUUAUUUUUCUUUUCUUUUUUCUCUUAUUUCAUAUUUUUUGUCUUAUUUUUCUUUUCUUUUUUCAUCAUUGGUUUGCCUUCAGCCCUCCCCUCAGCCCUUCCCUCCGCUCUGCUCUUCACCCAUCCCCUCCCCUCCCCAUCCCUCUUUCUCCCUUACCCUCCCCUUUCCCCUUGCCUCUGCCUCCCAUUACCUUGCCUGCCCUUCACUUACCUUCUCCUCACUUCCUGCUUCUUGAUGCUAUGGGCUUUUGCUGCUACUCACGCCAAACCUCAGCACUUGCCUACUCUGCUUGCUGCUCUGCCAAGUUGCUCUCUACUCUGCUCACAGCUUCACGCCUACUGCCUGCCCUUCUCUGUCCCCUUCUCGUGCCCUUCAGGCUUUUCCUCCCCUUGCUGAGCAAGGCCAUGCCCGGUAGCUACCCUUGAACCUCCUCCGCCCUUUGCCUUCCUCCACAGAGAUGCUUGCUUCUGGCCAGCACUCCUGCCCGGUGCCUAGCCCACACACCUCAUCUCUUGGGGAGAUAGCAAGGUGGCCUGUAGCUACCCACACCUCCUCCCGGGCAUGGCUUCUCAGCUUUGCUUCAAGCCCAGAACCCAAAGGAGCUCCUCUUACCUUUUGGCCCACAUUCUUCUCCUCCCGCGCAGCUCCUGUGGCAAGCAGGGGCACAGCUCUGGCCAGAUUCCUCCAUUCCUGCAAGGUUGCUUUUUGUCAUUCUUUGGCCUUUUGCUUUGCUCUCUUUUGCUGUGCUAUGCCUAGCUUUCCUACUUGCUUGCUCUGUAUUUACAUGCAUUGCUUUUUACUUGUUAUUCUCUUUUUUCCCGUUUCAUUAUUUUCCCUUCAACCCCCCCUUCCCUCACCCUACCUCCAAUUUUUUCCUUCCU
rnacentral:lncRNA from 7 species